UGUAAGUAAAUUCCGUUCUGUGCCCUAGGAAUCGCGCGCCAUGGAAAUUGUUUUCAAAUGGUGUUUAUUCUUUCGUAGUCAGGACAAUAGAAAAUUUGGAAGUUGACUUAUUGCGUCCCUAUUAUUUAGAAAAAUAGCAACCUGUCAAAAUUUACAACAAGAAUGACAUAGUUACUUGUUUCUGAUUGAACGUUUCCAUUUACCAUAGCAGUAAUUAUGAACCCGACUACAAAGGGAUAAUUCACGGUACGCAGGCGUAUAUAAACAAACUGCACUGUUGGAAGACUUCAAUACACCUACCUCAACAGGACUUCGACAUAUUUCCUACAAGUUUCCAGGCGCUUCAAUGAAACUACAGAACUUCUGUUUGAACUUGUGUGUGGAACAUCGAAGACAGAAGCCAAAAACUUACCUCUCAAUUAAUGUUCGUGUAGGUUUUAUGGUCGAGGGUGGACCAACCGGUCGUAACUGGCCCUAAUAAGAAGUAUAUUUGUUAAAUUUGGAAGAAGUGCCAGUGCAAUAUUAUUGGAACAACAGGAAAUGACUAUAAGAGAAUGUUUACAAAAGAAAACAUAAAUCGACGGUAUCUCUGCAGCGUCCCUCUUCUUGCGGACUACGGUGAAGAGAACCCCUCUCGAACCUGUUUGCGCCACCUUCCACUGAGGAUGCUGGAUGAGUAACUGUUUGCCGAUGAUGACAGCUUUACUCGUUACUUGGUGUUUCCUCUCAGUUUUUGUUACUGCUAAAAAUGACCUCACUUCACAAAAUUCAUUAAACUCUGUUUUGCUCCGAAA